ACGUCAGGCAACACCAGCUCCAUGCCGAGCGCCAUGAUGGUUCACUGCCUUGCCAGCGCCGCACCUGAGACAGAAAAGGGUACCGGCCGGCGAGCCACAAUGCUUUGCUUGGUAUUCAGGAAGGAGGGAUUGGAUUCUGUGUUAUGCUUUACCUCCAGGACCUGUCCCGCCUUUACUUCCUCGAAAUGGCAUGGCUGCGUGCAGUCCUUGACUUUGUGAUGAUUUAGGCCGCUCGGCCUCAGCUACAUGGAUGGCUGGCAUGCCUUUUGGGCUACAGGCACAUAUGGAUGCUAAGAAUCUUCCAUAAGGUCAGUGAAUGGAAGAGGUGAGCUCAUUGCCCCAAGUUCAAGUCCCACUAGAGGCUAGUCACUUUUCAAGCCAUCAAGUAACCAAAAGUCAUCUAUAUGCUGCCUAUCAUCACUAUCUUUGAGUGGAAAUGCAACAAGGGUCUAAUUUUGUAGCAUGGGCCCCUAUAAUGCAUCACUUUAAAAACCUUGUUUGUGACAUCAGGGAUCAGGGAGUUACAUACUUAUGAAAUCCCUCCAAUAACUGAUGCAUGAGUGAGUCCUGAAGGUGAUAUGUUAAAUGGUCCUGCAUUACUACAGGGUAUAAAGUAAACUGAACUAAAUACAACAACCUUUCAAGACUGAAUAUCACUUACUUGAGA